UCUACGGGUGGCAGCAGUGAGGAAUAUUGGUCAAUGGGCGCGAGCCUGAACCAGCCAAGUAGCGUGAAGGAUGACUGCCCUACGGGUUGUAAACUUCUUUUAUAAAGGAAUAAAGUGAGGCACGUGUGCCUUUUUGUCUGUCCUUUAUAAAUAAGGAUCGGCUAACUCCUUGCCAGCAGCCGCGGUAAUACGGAAGAUCCGAGCGUUAUCCUGAUUUAGUGGGUUUAAAGGGAGCGUAGAUGGGUUGUUAAGUCAGUUGUGAAAGUUUGCGUAUCAACCGUAAAAUUGCAAUUGAUACUGGCAGCCUGGAGUACAGUUGAGGUAGGCGGAAUGCGUGGUGUAGCGGUGAAAUGCUUAGAUAUCACGAAGAACUCCGAUUGCGAAGGCAGCCUACUAAACUGCCACUGACAUUGAUGCUCGAAAGUGUGGGUAUCAAACAGGAUUAGAUACCCCUGUAGUC
rnacentral:rRNA from 1 species